UCAUAUCAAACAGCCAUAGCAACUUCUUCGCAUCAGCCAAAACCAGCAUUAUGGAAGUUUAUAUGGCAAUCAAAUAGCCUACCCAAGAUCAAACAUUUUUUAUGGAAUGCUUGCCACAACGUAAUACCCACAAUGGAGAAUUUAUACAGGCGGAAAAUAGUACCUAAUCCGCUGUGCCCUCUUUGCAAACAGGAAGCCGAAACAGUCGAGCACACCCUGCUGCUAUGCUCCUGGACGACAAGGAUAUGGAAAGCCGCCCCUCUGCACAUCAAAGUGUCCCGAAUAGGGUUAACCAGGUUCGACGAAUGGCUGUACAUGGUAAAAAAAAACCAAACUAGUGCAAAAAAGUUCGACCUUAUCACGGUUACCCUCUGGAGCAUUUGGAAAGACCGCAAUCAGUUCAUAUAUGGCCAUCGCCCUCUGCACCCACAGCAAACGAUUCUUAAAGCCGAGGCUCUACACGAGAGCUUCUCCACUUGGAACAACAAAAAGAAAGGAGACCAACACAGCGAUACCAUACCUCAAAGAUGGAAGCCCCCAUCCCCUGAAUCGCUGAAAAUUAACAUCGACGCCUCAUUUCUCCCAAGCAGCGAUGACGAACCAGAAUCAAGAGGAUACAGGGGAGGAAGCGAGAACAGAGGAGCCAUAGCCUGCUUGUGUCGCGACUCCAGCGGACGGGUUGUUGAUGGAUUUGCGAAACUAGUGGCUGCGUCCACGACAGAACAUGCGGAGGCCAUCGCCCUUCUCGAAACCCUAAUUUUCCUCUCUAACCGAACUCACCUUUCUUUGGAAGUGGUAUCCGACUGUCU
rnacentral:lncRNA from 1 species